rnacentral:rRNA from 1 species
UACGAAGGGGGCUAGCGUUGCUCGGAAUCACUGGGCGUAAAGCGCACGUAGGCGGAUUGCUAAGUCAGGGGUGAAAUCCUGGAGCUCAACUCCAGAACUGCCUUUGAUACUGGCGACCUUGAGUCCGGGAGAGGUGAGUGGAACUGGCGAGUGUAGAGGUGAAAUUCGUAGAUAUUCGCAAGAACACCAGUGGCGAAGGCGGCUCACUGGACAGGUCCUGACACUGAGACGCGAAAGCGUGG